UUUUUCAAAUUCCCGACUCCCGCCCAGGGGUUUCAUCCCCUCCCCCCACCUCCCGUCGCUUCGCCUCUCACAGAAAUGUCUUCCCGCUACGAUUGGUCAGUUCUGGUUGGCUGAUGUUUUAUAUGGAGUAGAGACUGAAGAAGGAUACCUGCAUGUAUGAUGAACACUUUCAAGACCUUUAUAUAAAUAGGUCAUGUGUCCAAAUUCUGAGUAGGAUGGUGCUAUCAAAACACUUUCAGAAGUGCAAAAAAUAUUCAGAAGAAAAUAAUCUCCACUCAACUGAUAAAUGAUUACUGCUCUACAUUGAACGUCAUUUGGAGGAAACUCCAAGGGAAGCAAAGGCACAGAAUGUACUCUGAGCAGGAGACUUCAAUGAGCUAGCCAAGGCCUUUGUUACAAUGGGGUCAACACUUCCAUUUUUUUCUAAUUUCAAUGGAAAAGUCAAAAUGAGUUAAAAAAAAUGGUAUUUCACUCUUGUUUUCUUUCUUGGUAUAAUUAGCUAAGUCAGGAUUUUUUUCUCAAUUGAACUCAUUUGUAGUAAUUCAAAGCUGUUUGGUGCUCUACAAAGAUACCAUAAAGAGCAUCUAGAAUUUGCAAUCUGGUUUCCAUUUUAAGAGAAUCACAAACAGAAACGAAAUAGAUUCAAAAUCUCAUUAUAUGACAUUAUUAAAAUAGAACUACUGUAUCUCACAAUUAAUCCCAUGUAGAAAUGGUAGAAUGAUGGAUUCACAACAGAUCUGACUUUGAGCUGUAGAAAUUCCUGGAAGAAUUUUGUACCAUUUUGCUUCGACUUAAGGAUAAACUAAUGUUAGUCUAUAAAAAGAAAAGGAGUAUUAAAAUGAGAAAUGUAUAUACAUAGGUAAGUAGAGUAACAUCUACUGGUUUUUAUUGUGCACGACUUCAAAGGAUGAUGGAAUUGGAGAUCUUACUGCCAGUAAUACAUACUUCAAUCCCAGGCCAUUCCAAGUCCCACCCGUCAAUUCUAGAGUUACUUUCAUUAGUGACUCUGCUGUAGAUCAUUAUCACACAGGAUUGGUUGAUAUUUUGAUUCUACCGGAGCUGGCACCUGUUGCCUCUCAUCAGUCCCAGACUGAGACAGAGAAGACGAGAGGGGUAGCCAGAGACCUCAGCACUGCACAAAAUCAGGACUUUUAUACACAACAGCUUUACUUCUGACAGUAUGUGAGUCGCUUUCGAUGAUAUAUGUAUUUUCAUUUGGUUUAUUAAUUAUUAGUUAAUAAGAUUUUUACUCUUUUUUUUUAUUUUUAUUGCCCCUGGGUUCUGUUACUAUUUCUGGAAGUGUUGCGAUGUAAAACUGGAGUCUGCAGAUCCAGCAAAUUAAUGCUGAGUUAAAACAAAUUUGUCAAAAUGAGCAAGGAAAUUAAAGUAAAGCAAAUUAGGUA